rnacentral:lncRNA from 1 species
AGAAAAGUCUUGAAGACAGCAUUUCACACAUAAAAUAUUUCUUUUAUAGCAAAACGUGUCCAACUGAUUUACGAGGUCCUCUCAAGGAGAACAAAACACACACUAUAAAACUGAAACUCACAGAAAGAUUUCCCCAGCUUCUUUAGAAAAAACACACUCAAAUUGCACGGGGUAUAGAUUUUCAUAGUAUAUAAUGUGAAUUCUUCAUGGAAGCUGUGCUUUCAUCCUGGUGAGUUUAUUUAUUUCUAUGGUAGUAUAAUUUUUUUUAAAAAACAAUACAUUUUCUCAAGAUACUUGUCCUUGAAUUAAAGGCAUCACUGGAAAAAUUUGACCCAUAAGUCAGGGAAAUGCAAGGUGCAUUUUGCCUAAUUUGGGACACCUGAAUCAGAAUUGUAGCAGGGUUCAGGGUGGCAGACGAUAGCCCACUGGGCAAACCUGGCAUGCACUGUUUGUGAAAAUAAAACGUUGUUGGAGUCUGGACGGGUCAUUAAGUGCUGUCCGCGGCUGUCUUCCUGCUGAAGUGGUGGAGCUGAGUGGUUCUGAUGGACAUCCGGCCCAUGAAGCUGAAAAGCCUACUGGCCCUUAGUAGAAAACGUUUCCCGAUUCCUGGAUGGAUGGAAAAGGACCAGUCUUUCUGGCAUCAUCAGAAUGUCUUCUGUUUUCCAGGGGCACAUCUGGAGGCCCCAUGGAAUUUUCCUAACCGUCGUGUGGAGUGUGUCAACAAAACGGGACCGUCUGCAUCAGGGCAGUCAUGAAAGGGUCCCCAGCGACCUAAGUCCUUUUAAGUGGAGUACAAUGGACCCAGAUUCCAUGAGAGAAGCCGCCAUGCACAGUGGCACUUGGGAGGAAAAGAAAAACCCUCUCGUUUCCUUAUUACCCGAACACACUGACGAUCCAUUUGUAAAAGACGGCCCAGCCAGCAUCUCCCUCCCUGAGAGGGCGGUGUGUGCUGCUGAAACUCUGAUUACAACUGCUCUUAGGAUGAAGUGACUGGAGCCCAGAUACCUUAUUUAGCAAUCAGUGCUCGGCACAAGGACUUGCUGUGCCAACGAAAAGGAAGCGAGGCAUUUUGGCUAGUCACCGCGUUUUUGCUGCGUCACAGGGAGACAGAAGAUGGGCUGCUAUUUCGUCGGCUAAAUGCUAUCAUUUUAAGCACCGUUCCAAAGAAAACAGGGAUCUUGCCAGAGGAAAAUAACAUAUACCAUAAAGGAAAAAGAAAUGUGCAUCAAGGCAAAUAAACAGCUCUCUACUAAGGGCCUAGGAUCUUGCUAGACGAGUCAUUUCUCUGGUUGAAAAGCAGUUGAGAAAGGCAAGACAAGGGGGGCGGGGGCCCAGCAGGGCACCUCUGAGCCCUUCCUGCUGCUCUUCAAAGACAGACGCAUUUUCCUUUCUACGGUCUCCUUGCAAGUCUUCUGUAGGCCCUGCCACCUUCAGGCUGACUGACUGCCUCCUUCAAAUAUCAGCAUUUGGAAGGGUACUGGGGAGUCGACACCCUCAUGUCUGUGAGCUGACUGCAGGACGUCUCCUGUCCAGGUGCUGGCACCUCAUCUAACAUUUGAAGGCUCAGAAGAAAAGCCACGUCUGCCUACACAAUCUCACAAUCCGGCUUCAGCAAAGCAUGAGUUAAUUCAACUUCAUACUCGUGAACGUGAAGCGGGGGUUGGAAGGAAUGAAGGCUGCAGGACACCCAUGUACCAAGAAAAAGAAAGACAAAUUGGUUGUUUUAUCUACUUUACAUCAUGAUGGAGUCCUAAAAAGGGCCCCAUGAAGGCAGGCAGCCCAGGGAGGAAUGACUGGACGGUGACAUUGUGCAGGGGGUCUGGAAGUUGCCAGCGCAGGGGUUAGCAGCUGCAGCCUGGCCUGGUCCUGUCUGCCUGGCUGUCAAACCCAGAAGACCGUGGUUUCUGGUGGCCUCUGUGUGACAGCGGAGGAGGUGGGGCGAGGCCUGGAAGUGAAGCAUCUCGUGAGCCACUUAAGUGUUUAUGAAGCUCGCUAAUGUGCUUAAAUGAACGAGAAGCAGGUACUUGCUCCCAGGACCAGAGCCACCAAAGCAAUUUCCUCUGCAGCCCCUCAUACUUCGCACACUGGAAGCUUGCAUUCUUUCCCAGAGGACAGCCGGAUUACAGCACCGCCUCUAAUGCAACCCGAUCUGGUUUCUUUGAGCGCCGCGGUGAACGUGCAAUCUAUCUCAUAAAUGCAUCGCAGUGUUCCACAAAUCACCCACGUUCAUCCCUUGAGACGUCUUUAACUCGGGGCUUAGAGUUGCAAAUGAAUUCUCCUAUGGAUCUAUUAUUCCAUCAAAUAGCGGAGAGAGGGGACUAGCUUGUGCAGAGCCUUCAUAGAGCUGGGCUAAAUUCGAUUAUGCAAAGUCUAACGAGCACCAUUCAGCAAAACCAUGGUGGGUGUGAGCUGCAGGCCAGCCCCUCCACUGGGCCAUUAUCCAGGGGUAAACACCACUCGUGGGUUAGUUCCACGAGUUACUGGCUGAUUUGACCUGUGAUACUCCAAGGUGGAAGUAACCAAAUAAUAUGUAUCAUGAGCCCCAAGAACGAAGCCAGUGGAGAGUGGUACAUGCUAGAGGGUAACGCCUGGCCCUUUGCAGGACAGCACGUCAGCCAUGCGCCAUGGGACGAUGGUGGUGGCUGGGACACAGGAGGCCACGGCAGGAAAUGGGCAGGUGGGUGGGUCUAUGUAAGCUGGCUUUAGACUUCAAUCCACAAGCAUUUGCAGCUCAACUACUCAGCGUCUUAUCUUAUUUAAUCCUUUCAGCAAUAAACACUCUUUUCACAUGUAGUAAGGUUAAGGAGUCUACAUCACACCCUUUAUCAUUAUUAAUAAAGGGACACACCCUCCAGGGAUCCUAGGGAACCUCCUACCCACCCUGUGGUCACUCUAGGGAAAGGAAAGCUCUCAGGGACCGACGGGAGCCUGGGCACAUGCGCCACCACUCUCUCCUUUAUCCCCUCUAGCCCGGCUUGCUGGCUCUCACUUUCUUUUGUGCACUAGAACUCACGUACAAGUUGCACACCCAAACCCUUGCAUGCUGCAUUUCAGAGUCAACUUCAGUGAUUUUUGAGAGUGAUUUUGACAAUCCCAGUCAAAAUUCUAGCAGGUUUUUUUUUUUUACAUGACAAGUGGAUUCUAAAAUUCAUAGGAAAAUGCAAAUGACCUAGAAGAGCCAAAGCAAUUUUGGAAGGAGUAAAGUCGAAUGGCUGACGCUACCAGAUUUCAAGAUUCACUUGAAACGCACAGGAAUCAAGACAGGGUGGUGUCGACAGAAGGAAGGCGUCAGAGCAGGGUGACAGGAGGCAGGGCCACACACAGACGGCUGAUUGAUACCCGACAAAACCGCCGAGGUAAUUUCACAGGGAAAGGAACUCUUUUGAACAAAUGGUGCACCAACAAUUGGAUAACCAUACGGAAAAAAUUUAAAAAACAGAAGAACAUUGACCCUUCACGCACAUCAAACAUAAAUUAACUCAGAAUCCAUCAUAGGCUGGGUGUUGUGGCUCAUGCCUUUAAUCCUAGCACUUUGGGAGGCCAAGGCAGGCGGAUCACCUGAGGUCAGGAGUUUGAGACCAGCCUGGCCAACAUGGUAAAACCCCAUCUCUACUGAAAAUACAAAAAUUAGCCAGGCGUGGUGGCACGUGCCUGUAAUCCCAGGUACCCGGGAGGCUGAGGCAGGAGAAUUGCUGGAACCCGGGAGGCAGAGGCUGCAGUGAUCCGAGAUCACACCAUUGCACUCUAGCCUGGGCAACAGAGCA